rnacentral:rRNA from 1 species
AUUGACCGCUUGCGGCAGGCCUAACACAUGCAAGUCGAACGAGUGGCGGACGGGUGAGUAAUGUCUGGGAAACUGCCUGAUGGAGGGGGAUAACUAAUGGAAAAGGUAGCUAAUACCGCCUACCAUCGGAUGUGCACAGAUGGGAUUAGCUAGUAGGUUGGGUAAAGGCUAACCUAGGCGACGAUACCUCGCUGGUCUGAGAGGAUGACCGUCCACACUGGAACUGAGACACGGUCCAGACUCCUACGGGAGGCAGCAGUGGGGAUUAUUGCACAAUGGGCGCAAUGCUGAUGCAGCCAUGCCGCGUGUAUGAAGAAGGCCUUCGGGUUGUAAAGUACUUUCAGCGGGGAGGCUUUACCCGCAGAAGAAGCACCGGCUAACUCCGUGCCAGCAGCCGCGGUAAUUC